UUCCGUAGGUGAACCUGCGGAGGGAUCAUUACUGAGUUUACGCUCUACAACCCUUUGUGAACAUACCUAUAACUGUUGCUUCGGCGGGUAGGGUCUCCGUGACCCUCCCGGCCUCCCGCCCCCGGGCGGGUCGGCGCCCGCCGGAGGAUAACCAAACUCUGAUUUAACGACGUUUCUUCUGAGUGGUACAAGCAAAUAAUCAAAACUUUUAACAACGGAUCUCUUGGUUCUGGCAUCGAUGAAGAACGCAGCGAAAUGCGAUAAGUAAUGUGAAUUGCAGAAUUCAGUGAAUCAUCGAAUCUUUGAACGCACAUUGCGCCCGCCAGCAUUCUGGCGGGCAUGCCUGUUCGAGCGUCAUUUCAACCCUCAAGCUCUGCUUGGUGUUGGGGCCCUACAGCUGAUGUAGGCCCUCAAAGGUAGUGGCGGACCCUCCCGGAGCCUCCUUUGCGUAGUAACUUUACGUCUCGCACUGGGAUCCGGAGGGACUCUUGCCGUAAAACCCCCCAAUUUUCCAAAGGUUGACCUCGGAUCAGGUAGGAAUACCCGCUGAACUUAAGCAUAUCAAUAAGCGGAGGAA
rnacentral:rRNA from 1 species